rnacentral:rRNA from 1 species
UACGAAGGGGGCUAGCGUUGCUCGGAAUUACUGGGCGUAAAGCGCACGUAGGCGGCUUUCUAAGUCGGGGGUGGAAUCCUGGAGCUCAACUCCAGAACUGCCUUCGAUACUGGAGAGCUCGAGUCCGGGAGAGGUGAGUGGAACUGCGAGUGUAGAGGUGAAAUUCGUAGAUAUUCGGAAGAACACCAGUGGCGAAGGCGGCUCUCUGGACAGGUACUGACGCUGAGACGCGAAAGCGUGGGUAGCAAACAGG